rnacentral:lncRNA from 1 species
CACGCACCAGGUGCUCGACCUCUUCGCCCCGAGCCCAGUGAGCAGACGGCUAGGAUCCCGGCCACGGGCAACCUCUGACCCUGUGGGGGACUCCUGACCCCUAGGGUUAGCCUGUAAAUUCCAGGGUGACCUCUGACACUACCUCCCCAUUGUAAGCUCAGGUUGCUUUGUGGGUGACCCCUGACCCCAGGUGACAACACGGGCGACCCCGUGUGUGACCCCAGUUUGACCCCUUACACCAGGUGUCGUCACGGGUGACCCCAGCAGGGGCGCCCUGUGCGUGACCCUUGUGACCCCUGACCCCUAGGUCGGAUCACGCUUUGUGGCCUGAAGCGCUUGAGCCUGGCAGGUCUGUCCGACAUCAUGGAUCUCUAUGGCCUCACUAACGAUGACUGCGAUGACUUGGAGCAGCUGUGACACCCUACUGUGUGCCCGGGAACGGUGCACAUGUGCCUACAAGGGCUUCCUCCCGAGGCCGCAGGUGACAUCGGGGGCUUAGGGCAUGGCCUCCUCCCCGUGGCCUGCGGCCCUACUGUGCACAGGGCGCUGCGCGUUAUAUUUGUGGGUUUUUUUUUUUUUUUUGAAUAAAGAGUUUGAGACAUUUUUUUCACCCCGGGACACGCAGUAAGGCUCUCGGGGGUGGGCGACUCGGUGGACAGUCAGGCUGACCUCCCACGAUCCCUCAGGAGAGUGACAAGCCCACUUCCUGUUUAGGGACCCCCCCCCCCUUCCAGUGUGAGACAAGCCCACUUCCCACACUCUUCCUCUUGUUCUCAUUGACAUGCGUGUCCCGCCCACUCGUUAGCAUAAAGCUGUUCGAUAUUGUCCGGGUAUCUCCUUAGCAUAGCUCUGCUCACCUGUUAUGCUUUCGGUUUUCUCUGCAGGAAGGCCGACUCAUUAGAAUAAAGCUCAUUAGUAUGCACGGGCAUCAUUAACACAUGCCGCCUCAUUAGCAUAGCCCCACCCACUUGUUAUAAUUUUGCUUUUUCUCUGAGAACCCCCACCUCAUUUGCAUAGGGUCCAUUAGUAUGUGCGGGUCCAUUUACAUGCACACCCUGUCCCCUCAUUAGCAUACUCCUCAUUAGUAUGCAUAGACGUCAUGAACAUAACAGGGUCGGGGUCAGGUAGGUUUAGGGUUAG